GAGUAACCUUCCCUUGACUCUGGGAUAAGCCCGGGAAACUGGGUCUAAUACCGGAUACGACCUUCCAUCGCAUGGUGGGGGGUGGAAAGAUUUAUCGGUCUUGGAUGGACUCGCGGCCUAUCAGCUUGUUGGUGAGGUAAUGGCUCACCAAGGCGACGACGGGUAGCCGGCCUGAGAGGGUGACCGGCCACACUGGGACUGAGACACGGCCCAGACUCCUACGGGAGGCAGCAGUGGGGAAUAUUGCACAAUGGGCGCAAGCCUGAUGCAGCGACGCCGCGUGAGGGAUGACGGCCUUCGGGUUGUAAACCUCUUUCAGUAGGGAAGAAGCGAAAGUGACGGUACCUGCAGAAGAAGCGCCGGCUAACUACGUGCCAGCAGCCGCGGUAAUACGUAGGGCGCGAGCGUUAUCCGGAAUUAUUGGGCGUAAAGAGCUCGUAGGCGGUUUGUCGCGUCUGCCGUGAAAGUCCGGGGCUUAACCCCGGAUCUGCGGUGGGUACGGGCAGACUAGAGUGCAGUAGGGGAGACCGGAAUUCCUGGUGUAGCGGUGAAAUGCGCAGAUAUCAGGAGGAACACCGAUGGCGAAGGCAGGUCUCUGGGCUGUUACUGACGCUGAGGAGCGAAAGCAUGGGGAGCGAACAGGAUUAGAUACCCUGGUAGUCCAUGCCGUAAACGUUGGGCACUAGGUGUGGGGGACAUUCCACGUUUUCCGCGCCGCAGCUAACGCAUUAAGUGCCCCGCCUGGGGAGUACGGCCGCAAGGCUAAAACUCAAAGGAAUUGACGGGGGCCCGCACAAGCGGCGGAGCAUGCGGAUUAAUUCGAUGCAACGCGAAGAACCUUACCAAGGCUUGACAUGUUCUCGAUCGCCACAGAGAUGUGGUUUCCCCUUUGGGGCGGGUUCACAGGUGGUGCAUGGUUGUCGUCAGCUCGUGUCGUGAGAUGUUGGGUUAAGUCCCGCAACGAGCGCAACCCUCGUUCCAUGUUGCCAGCGGGUUAUGCCGGGGACUCAUGGGAGACUGCCGGGGUCAACUCGGAGGAAGGUGGGGACGACGUCAAAUCAUCAUGCCCCUUAUGUCUUGGGCUUCACGCAUGCUACAAUGGCCGGUACAAUGGGUUGCGAUACUGUGAGGUGGAGCUAAUCCCAAAAAGCCGGUCUCAGUUCGGAUUGGGGUCUGCAACUCGACCCCAUGAAGUCGGAGUCGCUAGUAAU
rnacentral:rRNA from 1 species